CUGAGGGUGUAUGUUGGCUGAAGCAGCACGGAUGAGACUGGAUUGAGCUGGAUUCAUCUGGAGAAGUCUGAACAUAACCAGUCUGAAUCAGGUACAUUUUGUAUAGUUUUCUUCUACAACCAAUUAGAUGCUUCUUUGGGGAUGUUUCUUGGAUUAGGCGGAAGUUAUUCAAAGCCACCCCGGGGCCCCUCAAAUCACCAAGUCACGAGGGUGGUCCCUUUAAAGCGCUGCUGAGGGCGGCCGCGCGCGCCGUCACAUGACGAGCAUGACAUAACGAAGCAGCAAACCGGAGAAGCUGAAGCGCGCCCAUGGCUACCGCGUAACCACGCGCACGAGCUCGUCCAGACGUCCGGUGUCUCUCAGUGGAGUUGGAGCUUCUCACUGGUUACUUUGAGCAUUGCAGCUGCUGCGGUACACACCGGGCGUGAUGGUGGACUGCACCUGCCGCACCACAAGACUUUCUUUUUUGCUUUUUUUUUUUUUUUUUAAAUGAAGGUGUUUCUACAGGGCACGCGAGGACUCUGAGUGAGCUGCUGGAAGGUUGUGGGGCACCUGGAGCCUAUCCCAGGGGACUCGGGGGACACAAGGGACACGAGGCGGGGGACAUCCUGGACAAGGUGCCAACCGAUCGCUAGGGCACAAUCACACACAUUCACACACUGCGUACAAUUUGGAAAUGCCAGUCAGCCUACAAUGCAUGCAUGUCUUUGGACUGGAGGGAGGAAACCCCUGAAGCAUGAGGAGAACAUGCAAACUCCUCACACAGGCAGGAUUCGAACCUCAACCCCAGAGGUGUGAGGCAAACAUCCUACUAAGCCACCCUGCCCCCCUAUAUGUUAUAUAUGUGGUGUUUGUGUGUGUGUGUGUGUGUGUGUAUAUAUAUAUAUAUAUAUAUGAGAGAGAGAGAGAGAGAGAGAGACUAGUAAUAGACUACAUUUUAUUUACAUGGUGGUUUGAAGGUUAAUUAUCAUAUCUUGGCUUUUAUCAUAUCUAUCUUAUCUAAACACUACACAGUGACUGACUAAUAGAUCUCAUAGAUUUGUCCAUAGGAAGAAAGAAAUAACAAAAACUACUAGCACAAACACAGCACAAGGGUUGGCCGUUCCCAAACUUUGGAUCCGUUCUUCCUUAUGAGUCGAUUCGCUCGAUUCACUUAAAAGAGUCUUUUCUCUAGAACCGAUUCGUGGUUCUUUCGCUCAUCACUACGAGGGCAGCGUAUAGAGUAAGAAGCCAGUCCCCGCUCAUAUACACGGUAGUUUUUCGUUGAUGGCGGUGUUUGUAACCCUGCGCGGUUUAUUUUAGGUGUAAAAGAUGCGAAGGUUAGAGCAGAGAGCGUACAGAAAGGGGCGGACUUUGGUAAGUUGCGCUGUUUUGUUGGUUUUUUCUCUUCAGCACCGGCGUCAUCAGUGCUGAAGGUAAAGCGGAACCGAGACGCGCUGUGCUCGAGAAGGAUUACGAACUGCGCACGAGACGGACGCAAGCCUGGCCGCUGAUCCCUGCGUAAGAUAUUCACGUCUUUCUUUACGAUAUUACACUGCUGUUUAUUUCACUGCAGGCACGUUUAUACCCUGAUCAUCCACACAGCACGAAAUGCAGGUCUUACGACGUGUUAUUUUGUUGUUGUUCCUGAUCAUGAUGAUCAUGAUGAUAGAUGAUGAUGAUAAUGUUUAUGAAUAUGUCUGUUGAAAAUGCAUUUUCGAGACUUCCUCAUUGUGAAACAGCUAUUAUUAUCAUGUCUAUAAAAAAGUUCCCAUGAGUGCAGUUUAUUGGUAUCUGUUCAGGCAUGUAUUUGAAGUGCUUCGUAAAACUUGUCAGAGGUGUGUGUGUGUGUGUCAGUUUUGUAACUAUCACCUGACUACAUGGCCUUGAUAUUUGCCCAUCUAUAAAUAUUCUCAGUAUUAAAAUAAUGAUAUGAAUUAUGUGUCGGAGGCAAUGUGAAAAAUGGACUUGCACAGACUUUCAUUUUAUGAGUUCAUAAUAUUAAAGGCGUGACGUCACGCCACCGCCUUCCUACACCUGACGACUGGGUAAAGAGCGCGCGCGGCUGUCGGUGGAGGCGAGCACGCGCGCAACACGUCGGUCGGGUGCGGCGCGCGCCGGCCACAGAGAGAGAGAGAGAGAGAGAGAGAGAGUAAACAGCACAGGGGUGCGUUUAAAUCUGUAUACCAUACUACACAGUGCUCUAUAGCAAACUAGUUCCCCUCAGCUGGGAUUGGCUCUGUUGUUGAGCUCUAAAAGCAAAAUUGCAUGUUAGUGUGUUAAAUUUGUUCAUUUAGGUGCAUCUUUAGAGUCAAUAUGUCAAAAGGGGUACAUUAAGGGAGUGCACCUUUGGUUUAGCAGAGGAUAGGACACAAAUGUUGCAGGUUGCACAAGAGCAUUGCAACUAGUGAGUCUGCUUAGUUACUGCAAGAAAAACAAUAUCAGAUCAAUAUCAGGUGUCGGUGAUACACAGAGCUCGGAUAUCUGAUCCUGCUGAAAUUGGUGCUUCCCUGUCAGUCUGUUAGUUUAAAGACUUUACUGUAUCUUUUAUCUUUUCCCCAGAAAAACUAACAUAGGUGUUGUGAUAUAAUUUUGGUGCCAAAGCUGACAUACAAGUACUGCUGUAAAUCUGGCCAUGCAGUUGUAGUAACUGGUUAAAUGAAUCUGUUAUGACAGAAAAAGAUCUAACAGAACCUUUUUUUAGACACAUUUCCUAGAUAUCAGUGUUAGUAACUCUAUAAAAACAGCAUAGUAAUUGAAACAAUAUUGUUCCUGCAUUGUUCUUCAUGGAUAUGAAUGAAGCUGGCUAUGAAUGAGUUUAUUCGUAAAUUGUUUGCAGGAGAACUUACACAGGAAAUUUGUUAGUCAUGAGAGUAUCUCAGUAAUAUUGCUGCCAAUUUGAUUUGCAUGACUGGUUUUGGUUUAGUCUGUGCUGGUUUAGAGAAAACGUUAAAAAAAAAAAAAAACAGACUAACCAGUAAUGGGGCAUGAAAUAAAACAGACAAAACAAUGUACUGGCUGGUCAAUAAAAUUGUCUGAAAUUAAAGUUCUAUGAGAUUAUUGUUAUCUGUGUAAAGUGCGGCGUGAAAAAAAAAAACAAGAGUAAUGCCUCUUUAAAUGUUCUCUAGGACACAGAGCAUAGAGCAACAAAGAAAAGGGGAAUCUGAUUUCAUCUAGCCUAUUUGCUGAACUUUGUGUUACUAAUUCAAUCUGAAUAAUUGAAUUAAUAUGUUUUCAUACUAUGAGUUUGUGAGCAUCUGGAGUCUAUUUGACAAAUUUAUUUAUAGAUAUUGAGAAAUCAACAUAACUGGUGUUCCUUUUAUCAGGAAAUUGAGUCCUGAUGAUGCCACAGCCAUUCGUGACCAGGAGUCCAAGAGAGCAAAAUUGGCCACGUUUUCUUGGUGGGAGGGAUGGUGUUAUUCUCUCUUGUCAAUCACAGCGAAGCUAGCCAAUCACGGGCAUCUGUGAGGUCAUGUAUGUGGAAGAGGGCAGAUUGCGCUUUCCUGUGAAUGUAAUCAGCUGCCCUGUGUCACAGCAGGAACAGCAGUUCAAAAAGAUGUAGUGGCUGGCUUCACGUGUCUCAGAGGAAGUUUUUACCCUCUCCGGCUGGUGGCUGUCAUGUGAUAGGGAAGGACUAGCUAGGGAAGGAUACUGGCAAAUGACCAAAUUGAGUGGAAAAGACUGGAAAAAAAUCUGUAUCCAUACCAGACGUUACCAAAAGUUUUACGUUGGUCAUUUCUUAGUACAAAGCAUAUCUUGCCCCAUGUAAUGUUUACGCCAGGAACCAGUUCAGGAAAUUCUAAGCACGCAAUCUGAUUUCAUGAGAAAUUCAUUUGAAUAUAAAGCGAUCGUAUUUCAUUACAUAUUUUGUAAGUCUCCCUGGUUGUUCUGCCAGUAGACUAAUAGUAAAUGUAAAUGUAAAUCUGUGGAGAAUUGAAGAACGUAUGAAAGCUGACGCUGCUCCUAACUUUAACCUUGACCUUGUACAGUAUCUUUUCAUACUGCUGGAGAUGUGGGAAUAGUUACAAAUUUGCACACAUGACACCACGAUGGACCAUCAUGUAAAGUAAAAUCUACAUAGACAAGAGAUGACUGUAAGCACAGUGGCGGAAUAAAAUAAAAAUCUUUUAUUAAUCUUAGGGCUUCUUGGCAAGCCAGUGCACUCUGCCCACCACAGCUCAGACACAAAUGGCUGUUUUAUUGCAUUACCAGCGCUAACUUUAUUCCAGCUGUGUUUUUGUGGAUCUAAUGUGAUGAUAUUUUUUAUGGUGUGUCAUCGUUGCUAUACCCAAAGAAUAACGAAUGCAUUUGACAUGAUGCAUGUAAACACUAGACUAUAUGAUAAAUGAUCUAUUUUCUGGUAAAUUUCUGGUAAGUGGUGCUACCACACCCUUGCAUAUAACAAACGCAUCUUCUAGUGGUCAUGUGUGUGUUUGUGUGUGUCUGAACUUGAUGCUUGUGUUUAGAGGCUUCCUAAGAACAUGAUCAAUCAGAGUGAUGUAAACAUUCAACAUUUUGCUAGGAUACGGGUUAAAACCACACACAGGAAAUAGGUUCUCCACUUCAAUCAAAUAUUGAAAUGCGGACUUGAAUAGAGAUAUCACUCAAGCCCAAAUGUUUAGACACUCAUGUGUUUCCUAUUGAGCAACUUUAGAAUGACUCAUGGGGUGGUUUUCUUCAUGGUUUGCACUCAGAUCACUACUCAAGGGUGGACAAAUGAUAAAUAAAUUCCUACGCUACCACACCAACCAAGUGAAAACUCCAGUGUGCUUCAUGUGUUUUGGUAACCUUUGGUGUUGCCUGGAAACCUAAAUGACUAGGCUAUAAAGUGGUAGCUAACAUAAUAAAUUACCGUAUGGUGAGCUGGUUAGCUAGCUAAAAGCAUUAAUACAGGCUUAGGGAAUAGGCUUGGAACGAUUGAUGAUAGAACAAGGAAUGGUUGAGAGAUUGCAUGUAUCGAGAUGGCUAUCGGUCAGAUGAUUUAAAUGGCUGUCGGAAAACAUGGUGUCUGUAGCUUUAAGAUCGACAAAAAUGAGGUGUGUUGUGUCUCGUAAUACACACUUUUAUGUUUCCAAAAAAACUGACUGAACGCUAAUGAUUACAGCUACAACCGACCUGUAAACAGCUUCAAUUUUUUUUUCGAUAUAAUAAUGUAACUUGCACGUGACAUGCGUUACUUAUGUCUGGCCACGCCCCCUUUUUACUUCCCCUCAAAGCCAAGCAGAUAUUAUCGGUCAAUGGGCGAUAGUUAGGGAGCACGAUAGGACGAUGACAUGUUACAGACAAUCUCACAAACCUAUCAGGGGAAUAAACGAGUAUAUUAUCAUGAUGGUCUUCUUACAAAAUGCGUAAUGUGAAAUGUAGUGAUCUGUCCUCGCAUCACACAUAGAAGAUUAUAUUCGAUUCUGGCAAGCAUCUUUAUUUCUCUCAGUAUGUUUAACUGGGAGGUGACUGCAUGUUGUGUUAGCAUCACACUAACAUAACUUCACGUCACAUUUAAGCAUAGCUACAUAUCAAAUCAAAACAUUUGUUUUGCGAAAGUUGUUAAGGAGUAGGAGUUUUUCUUGUCCAUCAGGCCACUACGAAUAAUAAAAUAAUAAUCCAGACACGCUGUGUCCUGAGCACCCCUCCUACUGAAAAUUUAGGAACUUUAAUACAGUCGGUCAGCCUGUAUCCACACAUGGUGGUGUUACAUGUUCAUUAUUAAACAUUAUUAGUCUCUGAGCAUUUCUUUCUGAGCUAGACGUGUUCACAUCCUGAAGAACAAUGAGAUUAACUGGUCGUCUGCAACGAGCAAAGUGUUGCUGAUGUAAUGGGUGUCUGCUGCGUGAGGAUUUACUGUGUGUGUGUGUGUGUGUGUGAAAACAAACAGCAGUAAAGACAGCCACACUGGCUGUGAGGACCUUCAGAACUAGCUUAGCAUAGUAACGGCCGAUAAUCUGCUACCACAUUAAAGUGCCUCACCUGCAAAUAACCUGUCUGGUUCAGGAGCGUUCAGGCAUCACACUGCUUCGGACGUCAGCUGACUCGCUGUAAGCUGCUCGGAGUUUUGAUGAGUCAACAGUGGCAAAGCUACUGAUGCAAAUAUACAGCAAACCCAAGAUCACACAUCCUCGAGAAGAAAAAAAGGACUCUGGCAGUACCAUUUUGCAGGCAAAACCAGUUUUAUUGACAUUUCUGUGGUUCUUACGUAUGUUAAACAUAUCUAAGUGGAGACCUUUUUCUGUGGGAGUUGAUAUUUACAUUUGUUUGUACAGUGGUCAUAUUCAAAUAUAUGCAUGUUUGUGUAGGUGUGAUGACUGCGGUAUAGGAGUGUGUCGUGAUGCUGUACGAUUAUUAUGACGCAGCUUGUUCAGUUGUUUUGAAAUCGGCUUUUCCUGUCCUGGCAGCCUAGAUCACAUGCCAAGUUUAGUAACAUGUGUUUAAUCGCACCAGAAGUGCAAGCACUCAUAUCAGUAACAGGCUAUACAUUAAUUAUAAUCGCCUAACAGUGUAGACUACGUGCUCAUUAUAGAAAGAUAUGUCUGUUCAUGUGUCUGUGAUCCAAACAGGUCUCAGCUGUAAAACUACGUGCAUGUGCGUGGUCACGCAUCUGCUGUUCUCAAUGUGAGUGCGUGUGUUUACAUUCGACGGUGGUGAGCAAUGACGCAGGAGAAAAAGCCACGCAGAAGCAGAGGUUGCUGCCAUUACUGUGGUGCAGAGACCGAGAGAGGGAGGGAGGGCUAAAAUGGGAGAACGGGAAGCUAACCAAGAGGUCGUAUACUAUAAAAAAAAUGAGACAGAGCAAAACUGAAGCGCAGAUGAGGAAAGAUAAGGAUGGUCAGGCAGUGGAAAGACAUGGGAGGGGUUUCAGAGUGAGACAGAACAGACACAAGCAUAUACUCGGCAGUGUGCGCCACAGUUAAACUGCGCAAUAAAUCAAAAUCCUGCUUUUAAACUCCGUCAAUGAUAAUCAGGAAUUCUCUGCUCACAUAACCAACCUAGAAACCCAGAUUUUACCCCACUCAACAGCACUAACCAUCCAAACAGCAUCACUGAGGCAUCAUGACUUGGCAAAAAUAUCAUGUUAUGAUACCUGAAGAUGUUUUUAUGAUAUCAUCCUAUCACAUUUAGACUUACUAAGUGUUUAACAAGCAACAAGAGAUUAAUUACAGAUAGUUAAAAAUAGUUAAUAGUUAAUGAUACUCCGAUCGUGUAUACUAAGGACUCAGGUACACAAAAAGAAAUAUUUUAAUGAAAACAUAAUUAUAAUGAAUGCUGGUUUUAUAUAAGAUUUUGUUAUCAUGCAUGUAUACUUUGUGCCUGUGAUGCUGACUAGGUUUAACUCCUACUUACAAAGUAAGAUGAAGUGAAAUGCUCUGUUGAAAGCACAUUAGCAUUUUGCUAAUCAUUGAUGUGCUAAUCGAGAUUAGCAGCAAACCUUACGAUUUUUUUAAAGAAUCAUAGCUAGCUUUAACUCUUCAGUACUAUAAAGAAAAAAGAUUGUUCUAUUUAUACAUGCAGUUCAGUAACAUACUAAAAAUGAUAAGAUUCUCACUAAGAGCAAUGUUACACGCUAACAACAACACUUGCGUGACAUUAGACUUUGCGUUUAAUGUACUUUCUUAAUACCGACACACUGAUGAUCUUCAGACUAACCUUUCCAAACACACGUACACAUAAAACUUCACACUAACUUACCACAAGCACAUCCGGCUUUCUAAAGCUCCAACAGCUUAUAAAAAAGAUAGUAGCAUAACAGGCCGACAUCGGAUUAGCUACUUUUUACUGAACAUUUCACAACCCAACCCAAGUUGUUUUAGAAAUCUGUUUUUAUUUAGCAAGUUAGAUCUCUAACUAUCAUCAAUUAAUAUGGACAAAAAUGGCCUUCUUUAAAAGGAAGAGGUCUUUGAGCUAACUUUGCAAGCAUUCAACCACAGACCUCUGCAGCAUGGAGGAUAUUGCAUUAACUCUAGAUUAACUGCUUCCAACUAUAUCAUUUGAAGAUUUUCUGAACUCUCUUUCUAUACUAUUGAUUAUAUUUUAAAGUUCAUUGUGUCACAGUGUUCAAAAUGUUGUUUUCCUGUGAGAAACUGGUUCACGGAAGGAGUGCCUGAGGGUUUUUUUUAUGCAGCAUAAAGCUAAUUAGGGUUAUAGGUGUAGUGACGAUACUCUGAGAAAAGUGUACUGAUAGAUGCAAUUUAUCGCAAUAUUAUUACCCACACUCACCCCAACCCUUUCAAAAACGUCAUCAUAUCUAUAGUUUACUUAGCUGAUUUGAAGCAGCAACCCCUAUACUUUCCCCUGACUUGGUUGAAGGCUAGCAGUGUGGGCUAGGCAAUAUUUGCACUCUACUUUGCACUGAAGCUUUGGUUCCCAAGCACUCAGUGGGAGAGGAAUGUGGCCAGGCAAGCAGAGCUGGCACAGUCCUGGACCCCGUGCUCCACUUGAUGUGAAAUCACAUCUCUUUCAAAAUGCCCCUGACAAAGAACAACUCUCUACGGGCGCUUCACUCUACCUAUUCAGACCACAUCUAUCAAGACCCGGGCUGUGAUUGCAUGUGUGCGUGUGAGAGUAAGCGCGAGAAAAGGAAGGGCAGGUUAGAAAGACAAACCACAGCUUUGAAAGUGGCUGCAGUAAAAGAGGGAUAUGUUUUCACAGAGUAAUGACACAAGCUUGACUUGGCAGAUACCGUCAAAAAUGCUUUGAUUGCAAGCAACCAGAUAGGACAAGAUGUUCCUAUUGCACAACCUGUUGCUGCCCCUCAGCAGGGAUGGACAUCCAAACCCAGCACUACAGAGAUAGGACAGAACACAGGUCAGUUGAGGCCUGCCAGACUAGAGCAGCGUUACUGAACUUGUGUACUUUCUAAUGGUCUUUGUGGAAUACUAGAGAAGCUGUUCGAGUCUCAUCUGUGUCUGGGGUCCAAUAGAGACUAACUGGCCUGCCAAUUGUUGGGUGGGAAUAUCUGGGUGGAAAGGAUGGUCUCUUGUCCCUGUCAGUCAGAGGGACAUAAGAUAGUCAUGGGUGCCUGUUAUCUCAUGUGUAACUUAGUACUCUCCUCAAAGUGUGUUCGGCUGUCCUAUGAUGUUGCAUGAGUGGUUUCAUGUCUGGAAAAGAAAGCAAGUAUUAGCUUUUGUGCAAAAAGUGGCAACUAGCUAGUAGGUGUGAAUUAUUCACUCAUGCAUUCUUCUUCAGUAAUGGCUUUAUCCCUGGUCAGGGUUGUGGUGGAUCCAGAUCCUAUCCCUGGAACACCAGGAGUGAGGUAGGAAUACACCCUGGAUGGGCUGCCAGUUUAUUGCAGGGUAUAAUGCGCACACACAUUCAUACUCAUUCACGCAUAAGAGCAAUGUAGCACAGUCAGUCCACCUAUUAGCAUGUUUUUGAGAGGAUCCUUGAACUGUGAGGUGGCCGCUUUGCCACCCUGGGUGGGAAUUAGUAGCAACUAAAUUUAUAAAAAUGUUUAAAAAUUCCUCUUAAAAGCUCCUACUUCAUAGUCACCAAUGGUAAACAAACUGCAGUCUGGUUCAUGUUGAAAUUUGUAAAAGUUCCUCUAUCCAUUAUUAUGGAGAGCCAAGUGCCAAAGACGCUCUGGUGUCUCGCAGUUUGGCCAGCAUUAACUAAACAUUUCUCGUAAUAUGAAAUAAUCAUUGGCCCUUCCAUCAGAACAUCUUGUGUUGUUCUGAAUUAACGGUAAUGGGUCAUUUUCAGACUUUGGCAGAGCUUUACUUUGGAAAUGAGGACACAGUAUUAACAAAUUCCAACGUGUUGGACUGUUGAUGAGUCCUCAGCGGUACAAAAAGAAGCCGAGCGGCGGGGUCGCUUGUUUUCUUGGAGAACAAGGCCUUGUGGGGCAAGUGGAAAUCAGGUCAAUUCCACUGGGCCAUCUCACUCACAGUAAAAGCGAGCCUCAUCCCGUAUUUAAAACCACACCAUCCCUCUCUGUCUCUGUAAAGAGUCUGAUGGAUCUGAAUGCUGCGUAAAAGGAAAGCACACAAACAGAUCAAUGGGACCCAUUUGCAAUGCGAACAGCAUGUAGUCCGUCACUUCGCUGAGCCUGAUUUGCAACCUCAUUUCUGUUCUCUGGGCUUAUCACGUCUCAGGCUCAGCCAUAUCUGUCUUUUAAUUCUGGAGCAGCCGUGAAACAGCUGAGUCAUGGCCCUAGUAAACAUCUGGUGAUGCAGUAGUGCUUUAUAGAGUCACGGCCAGGGCAGUUCAAACAAAUGAUACCCCAUAAAGUACCCUAAUAUGGCCAAAGAGCCUGGUAUGGAAGACUGCUCUUUAUUUUAAGAUCGUGUUUAUAUAAUAAGUACAAAAUCACACACCUUCACUUUGUGUGCUGCUCCUUGAAUAAUAAAUCAUGUUUAUGUCCAGUGUCUAAUCUGAACAACUAUAAAAGAUUAUUAGACAGCUACAGGCUGAGCCUCGGUGCCAGCUUUCAUCAUGGGGCAAAUAAAUGUCAAACUGACAAGGGCGUGCCAUACAGUAAGGUGCUACACUAUAAUUAUAGGGCAGCUUUAGACAGGCUUGUAGUGAAGUGUGAAUCGAUAGGCUAGACUUUUGUUUUAUGAAUGUGCCAGUUGUGUUGGAAUUGCUCUAGUUGUUACUAGGUCUGGGUGAUAUUGUGAUUUAUUCCACUUAAUUCUCUAUUCUGAUCGGUCAGAAGGUGUUGUGUCAGCUGAAUGUAACAGGUUUAUAUUAAGGUGCUUGUUCUAACAGGCCAUUGUUUCUAUAGUAACUACUACAACAGGGACUUGUGUUUCAGACUCUCUACAUAAACUGAUUUGCAGAUGUGUCUAACUGUUAAUAAGGUGAAGUUUUUUGUGAAGAGAUUUACAUUUCACAUUUCUGGAAGGAGUCUCCAGUGUCAGCGUUUUGUAACAGUCAGAGGUAAUGCUGUAACAUCAAGUUUUCUGACAUGAGAAAGGGAAGGACGAGUUUGUACUUUGUGGUUUCUCAUAACAUGACAGGCUGUGUUUAUGUCUUAUUAACCUCAAGAGAGUAUGAAAAGAGAGGUUGAAGUGGUAAAUCAUAAUCACUGGCAAAUUGUUGUGCUAUAAAAGAAAUAAAUCACUUCAGAAUGUGCUGUUAUGGGAAGAUAAUCAACUUAAUAGAUUAAUUUCCUACAGCAGCAUGUCCCUUCAUGUUUUAGUAUUUACAUAAUACUGAUAAUGUGAUAUAUUUCAUUAGAAUAGACAUUUCUGGGGGUAUUGCACACAUUGUCAAUACUUUUAUAACACUGACCAUUACAUUGUUACUCAGAGAAACUAUUAAUUGAUACUAAAUAUUUCUGGGGUAAAUAGUUUAUUUUGUGGAAGAUAAAUAUAAAUGAAGGCAUAAUUUCAGACAGAUUUGAACAUAAUUCAGUCUGCAGUUCUGUGACUAUAUUCAAGGAGUUUCAUUAUUUUUAUUUGUAUUUAUUUACUUAUUAAUUAAUUAAUUAAUUAAUUAAUUAAAGUUAGUUGUCAGUACUCACCCGCUCGCUAGUUCUAUGUGAAAAGCGGUGAAGGCUAACACGAAUGAUACUUAGGUCAAAUUUAUUAACACAAAACAAACACAAUUUCUCAUUUAAAACAGACUUUUUUAGUACUUCCAUUAAUUAACAAAAAAAAACUUGGCUGCCCUACUGUACUAUGUCACUCUACUGGUAAUAUAUAGUGUAUUGUGAAAUGAUCAAAUGUUGUUACACUGUAUAUCUUGCUUUGUCACCCAUCCCUAGAUCUACAGCAGUUCAGUGACAUUUGAGUAAAGAGAGGAGGUCAUGCUGCUUAGUUCUCUUUCUCUGUUCUCACUAUUUGCCAGACCCUGGGUUACUGUGUAGCAUGUUUUCACUGAGGCUUCUCUUUUCUCCAGUCUCUCUCUCUCUCUCUCUCUCUCUCUCUAUUUGUGUCUCUGUUCCUGAUCGUCCUACAUUUUAUAAAAAUGGACCUGGCAUGCCCACCAUAUUUAGCCACACUGCUGCUGAUUCUCUCUCAUGAACAGGGAUAUUUCUGCCUUACAGUAGAGUAAGGGAAGGAAAGGAAAGGCCAUAGCACAGCACAUAGCGUAAAUCUAAUAGCAACAGGAAAAGAAAGACAUGCCAAUUUUGUUAGUAUAAAAAUACGGGUUAUUUAAUGGGCUUUAUCGUCAUGUAAGUAAAGCAUUGAGAUUUUGACCUCAAAUAUAAAGGGAAUAUAAAUAUUAUUAUUAUUAUUAUUAUUAUUAUGAGCAUAGAUGUAGAAGAUAAUGCUGUUAACAGGCAGAUGAACACAUAUAAUGUUCAUUGUUCAUUGUUAAAAGCGCUAUACAAAAAAAUAAUAAAAUUGAAUUGAAUAUAACACAAAAAAGAACAUUAGUACUCCAGCAUUUUUUAAAAAAACUGAAUCUCUAUUUGUUGCAUCUCUGGUGUAUAUGAUUAUCGUGAAUAAUAAUUUCAUCAUACUUUCCUGUGCUGAAAAAAACAAACAAACAAACAAACAAAAAAACAAAACAAUUCACUUAAAAGUCACUUAUAGUGCAAGCAAGGGCAGUUAUUGUAUUCUGUGAAAAAACAUUUAAAAACUGUGACUAAAUUACGCAAAAUCAAAACUUAAAUUAUACUUAUAUAGACUUAUACUUAAAUAAUAUAGCUCUAAGUUAAUUAAUGAUAAUAAUGUUAGGCUAUUUGGUAUUGCAGGAGGAUAAUGAGAUGUUUCGAAGUUACAUAUUUAUGUUUAUUCAUAGAUCCUGCAAAUUUAGAUUUUUAAUGGCUUAAAAUUACGUUAUGGACUACUUUAUGAAAUAAAAAAGUUUAAACUCCCGUAUCAUUUUUAUCCAGAAAUGUUUUUUUUUUAUUGGCGUAGCAAUUAAUCUUUAUGUUUUUAUUAUCAUGGUGCGUCCCAUCGCACUGUUAUACAGCCAUAUCCCUAAUCUCAACAUUCCAACUCAACAUUUCUUCCCCAUCAUGAGCUCAUCGGCAUCACGCCGCUGUUACAUCAGCCUGAAACCACGCUGACGCAACCUGUCAGUGAUCUGGCAGUCUGGUCAUCAUGACCAUGCACUAUUCUCUCCAGUUCUCUCGCUCCAGACUGGAGUGGACAACCAAUGCCUGCCUCCACCUAGUGGCUGUCUGCAGUUUUACACACACACACACACACACACACACACACACACACAUACACACACACACACAUUGCUAAUCUUUGCUCUAGACAUGUAGGCAGCUGCCUGGCACACACUGUAAGAGCGAGUCGAUAAUGCAGUUGUAGGCAAACAAAUCCACGCACAUACACACGCACACACACACACACACACACACACUCUUAACACAUAAGUCGUAUGUACACACAGAUGGCUGAACAAACACCUUUGCAUUCACAAAGUUAUGUACAAACAGCGUAAUGAUUUAUAUUUAUUAUUUAUUGUUUUUUUCCUCACAGUGAAAUGCAAAUGUACACACAGGACAGAAGUCCAGUGGCUUUCAGUGUAUGUCAUGUCUCUGUUCCUUCCUUGUUAAGUUUCAGUUCUCUCACUCUGUUUUUUUUAUAAGUGUUACUGUUAGUAUUGAGAAAACUGUGAAUGUAUUAGGACAUAUAAUAUUGCAGUAUUCAAUGGCAUGAUGUAUGUUGAUAUUGAGGUUGUGCUUAGAAAGCAUCACCAUUACACAAUAUUAUGAAAAGAAAAUUCAGUUCAGAAGUUCACAUAUCUAAUUUUCAACAUUUAAACGAAAAAUGUAUUGGACAAGGAUAAUAAUUUGUACAAAAAUAGAAUUUAACAUCCAGUCAGUUAUUUGUUACAAUUAGUAACAGUGGAGUUAGAAAUGUACUGUUACUUUAUGGUGUUCAAGAUACUCAUGAUAAACUGUUCUGAGGAUACUCAUGAUAAAGUCUUCUAAUAGUAUUGUUCUAGUAUUGUAAUUGGAGCUGCAACAAUUAGUCGCCAAACCUGACAGCGUCAGUAAUGAAAAAUCAUGGAGGUAGAUUUUGAUAGUCUUUAUAGUUUGCUUAACCAAGAAGAAAAAAAAAAACAGUGUUGCAAUGCAAUAGUAUGUAUUCCUCUGUAAAAAAAAAAAAAAAAAAAAAAGUAAUGUAAUACAAUAAUGAAGCUGUUGAGGGCAGUGUUGCUUCUGUUUCUCUCUGCGAUACUGAUGUGUGCCGCUUGUUUAAGAAAUGAAGUGGGAUGUGAAAACUGGAAUUUGCUGAUAACGGUUAAUUUUUCUUCAUAUAAAGUUCAUCUUGGUGAACUUUAAUCCUGCGAAUUUGCAAACGUCAGAAGAAUGAGCUGAUAGAAAACAAAAGUGUGGAUUGUGCAUCCUUUUUUCGGUAGAGAAAAAAAAAAAACAGAAAUAUAGCCGCAAACUGCGGGGUCCAAGCACCAUUCGCAAAAACUGUGCCCGUAAAAGGCCAGUUCUUGCCAUGAAACACUAAAGAAACCAUAGAUGAACAUUCUAUUCAGCUUUCAUGAUGGGUUGAUCAAUACUAACAUUGUGAAAAGCUCAUUGUCCUCAAUGACUGAAGACUGUUAGAUUAUACUUGUUAUUUCGAAGUUAUUUGUGACUGCCUUCGAGCACUCUAGAAGCCUUUUUUCAAACACACAUACAUACAUACACUUCCCUUUGGUCACUCUCUCUCUUAUUUUCACUCCACACAGAGGGAGGUAAUAGCCUAUAGCUAUAUAUAGAAUAAUAAGGAAUAGCAACUUGCAUGACUGUAGAGAACAAUAGGAUAUGUGUACUCUCUGUAAGACAGCAGGAAGUGAUAAAUUGUCUACAGAGGAAGUUGGAACAACAGACAUGACCCUACACAUAUGCACACACAAUAAACAUUUACAUCGACUUCCAUUUACUGUAACUGACCAAUAGGUAGCAUAUGGAAGUACUCAUCAACAUUAUGUGCUUUUGAGUUUUUUCUCAGUGAACUUCUCUCUCACUCUAUGUUUUUUCCACUUUCAUGGUGGUUUCCUUCUUCUCUUAGUGCUACUGCAUCAUAUAUAAAUAUAUACAUAUAGUACACAGGUUAAAUGUCAUCAAACCCUACUUUAAAGGUCACACAAGUGUAAUGGAAGUAGGUUAUUUUGUAUUAGCUCUCAGUUUUGAUGGGCAGUGUAUUUGGCCUCACAGUCAUGACAUGGCAGCAGUGGAUUGGAUGAAGCAUCUAGGUCAUUUCACACGAAUUCACAAAAAGUCCUUGGCCAUCUCUUCUGGGAAAGAGUGCAUGAGUCAUUUUAUAUUAAACUUCCUUCAUUAUAUUUCCCCCUCCUGCACAAAGACUUCUGAUCUAAGGUAAACAGUGAACAGAAUGAGACAGACAGAGAGAGAGAGAGAGAGAGAGAGAGAGCAAUAGACAAAAAGAGGUGCAAGUUUAACUACCUAUUACACUGGUAUAGUGAAGAAAGCAGGCACUUGAUGUAUAAAAGAGGAAUCACUCUUCAUGUGUCUCCCUGUUUAGGAGACACAUUUGUUCGGGUUCUGUGCCAGUGACCGGAAGGUUGUGAAUUUGGUCCUUGAGCAAAUCCCAAUAAAGAUUGGAUUCAGCAUCACUCAGCCUAAUUGGUGGACAGGAAGCAGGUGCUCUGUUGGAUCUGACAGAAAAGGAUUCUGCGGCGGGACGGCUGACCCGCUGAGCUUCAGGAGCACAACGAGAAGUCGAUCUGCGUUUGGACGGAGGAUUGGAACGUGGCCCUGAAUGGAGCGAUUGGGUCCUGCCGAGGUCAUACGAGAUACAGAUCACCCUUCCCUCCCCUCUGUUUAACACCUGACUGCCACCACACAGACACAAACUCUUGGUUGUGUGGGCAUGAAGCAUGAAGUGAGGUUCUGUCAGGGCAAUCAGAGGGGAACACACACUAACCCGGGCAAACGGCGGCCUUCCAGGAACCACGUCAUCCCAGGACUCGCUCAGAGGGAGUGAAAACGGAAAGUGUUUACCCAUCCUUGCUGGAAACCUGGAUGGCCGUGUGGAAAGAGGCACAGAGAGGUUAUAUAAAUGCCAGCUGAACCAUCCAAACAGGCUGAAAAGGAGGAAGCAGGAAGCAGCUGAUGUCAUCACUGGUAGUGAUUUUUGAGCAUGUGUCUAUGAAUGUCUUUUUUUUUGUUUGUUUUUGUGUCAUUUCCUGGGAGAGAAUGGAAGAGGAAGUGGAGUGACUGGUUGAAGGGAAUCAUACUUCCAUGGUGGGCUUUUCAUACAUGCAUACUCACACACAUACUCUAUUGAAGCAUAGGAUGUGCGUGUGUGCGUGUGUGUUUGUGUGUUUUCGCACCCCUUGCCUCCUCUGAUUUCUCACUGAAACACUGCCCUCUUGUGUUUGCACACAGAACUGCAUGCUGCCUUGCAGUAGUCAGGUUUUUUACAAAAAAGGUGGCAUCAAAUAAUUAUUUAUAGAUUAAUGUAGCAUUAUAAUUAGCAUUAUAAUUUGAUUGUAUUGGCUUCAGUUGCUGUAGAGUUUAUAAUACAGAAAUUGUAUGCUUAAAAUACCUCCAACGUUGCAAUUAUGGUAUAAAUCAACAGUCGCUCUAUAUGAUUCAUUAAGAGUGCUUUGAGGUCAGGGUUGGGGUGAAACCAAGGGUGACAAAGCUUAUUGAAGUGCCACACCUGUGGUCACAAACCCUCAACAGCUUUAUUCAUGUGUCUGUUAGACAGUUUAAACCCGAGGAGGGGGGUGGGGGGACUUAUGGUUUGGUCGAGCCUUAAAAAAAAAAAAAAAACACCUCAUUACAAUAUCUGAUUUAUCUACUAAUUGUCACAUUCUGGCUUUUAUUAACACCCAGAUGCAGUUAUUAAUUUAUUUACCAGAAGUGUUUUCCUGAUAUUAUUUGGCAUUGUUUUGCAAUCUCAGUAGAGCACACAAUCAAAAAUGAAAUCAUAAAUACUGUAUCGUGUUCAUCCCAGGACUCAUACUGAACAUGCAUUCAAUGCACUUGGUACUGUUUGUCUUUACUUUACUACACCUGUAUACUGUAAUGAUUUAUAAUCGCAUUAUCUGAUGUCACCCAGAAGAGAAGAGGUUCCUUUCUGAGUCUACUUCCUCUCAAGGUUUUUUCCUCGUGUUGUCUCAGGGAGUUUUUCUUGCCACUGUUCCCUCUGGUUUGCUGAUUAAGGAUCUAAAUCUACACCCCAAUUUUGGCAAAGCUGCUUGAUGACAAUGUCUAUUUCUUUGCUUUUUUUUUUUUUUUUUUUUAACAUUUUAAUCAGCUUUGACUGAAUGCUUCAGUGUUGCCAGGGUUGCAGGUUUUACACCAAAUUGGGCUGGUUUUGGAACAACUCUGCAGGUGGAAAAAAGCAAGUCUGCUGGAGGCGUUUUUGGUGAAAGCUAUAUUUCAAUGACCGGCGGGGGAAGACGGUGAUGGAGCGUAUAACGAGUAUGCAAUGAUAAAUAGGCGUAUUGCAGAUACCGCAAAUCAGAAACGCGUGCACGCUACAGUGACCUAAUUUCCCACACAAAGACUGAGAAAAAGAAGAAAAAUGUGUCUCCCUUUUCCAAUGCCUGGGCUUGUUUCAGGUCUUUUUGUGAGGUUCUUGAGAUGAAGUUGGACUGUAAAUUUUGCAGAUAACAGGUAACCCUUGCUUGAAAAAUCUACACUGACCAGCUACCAGCUGCCAAAGCAGAAGCCAGGCUGGUCAACCUGAUGCAUCAUCUUUCGCUCAUUUGUCAAAUUGUUUCUUAUUACGUUCAGGUAAAAUGGAAGGCUAGUGAGCCCACCAGCCGCUGAUCAAAGUUCAGGUGAGUACAUGGACCUGGUUGUCACUUUAAAGUGUUUAGAGAGCCUGUGAAUCCGUGACUCAUAUUUUCUGACUCCUAGCAGUCGCCCUCUAAAAGGUCCUGACGUCAUCCUCCCACGACUGUAACUCAUGCAGUGAUUUUUUUUAGAGCCUAUUUACACACAGAUAAACAGAGCGCACAGUGCAGGGAGCCUGCUCUUCACCUCGCAUCACAGGCCAUGCAAAGUUGUUCUGUCAUCGUGACAGAAACCAGUCUGGUGGAUGGUCAUUGUGCUGGCCUCAUUUGUUUUAACAGGGGCAGCCACUUCCUUUCAGACCGAACCACCUGCUCUCACAGCGUUUUCUCCUUUUCCUGUUGUGGUCUUUUUCAGCCUGGGCACUUCCACCCAGCAUGCAGGAGUGACUGAGGACAAAUCUUCUCCCGGAUGCUGGUUUCACAUGGUGGUUUAGAUGUGUUCUACCCAGUGUCUAGCACCAUUUGAAAUCAGUGUUCCUGAAAAAGAAUGGCAGCUGUGGAGCAGCGAAGGAACCACAUGGGCUACACGAGGGAACCUGCACAGAGAUUUUUUUAUACUACUAAUCACAUGAGCGCUAGACUCUUUAGAACAGUAACCUUACAUUCACACUAGUGUGCAACAAAGCGACAUGUAGCCGUUAAGUUUCUAUGUACAUGCGUGACACGGAGCCGCGAUUUCAGCGACAGCAAAUUAGCUGUGAUGUGGUAAAAUGACAAACCCAAACGUUUCGUUUGACUGAUUCCUCGGACCCUUCCUGUGGCACUUGCGGGCCAAAGUUUCUUCAGUUCCCCACUGGCGGCUUUAGUUCCUGCAAUUAGUUCCCAUUUACUGUUUGACACACAAAAAUGGAAGAAAACUUAUAACCAUGGUUUCAUCUUGUCCUGUCAUACAUGACCUCUAAUUAAAUGCAUAUAGAGACAUUAGGAAGAAAAAUAAAGCUUGGAAUGAAGUGUAUAUAGCUAGUACGAAACCUAGCAUGCAACAUGUAAACAAGUAACAAACAACCAAUUUCACACUGAUUAGUACAUUAUUAAAUUGUGUUGAACUCUUUAACUUUAGAGGUAUUUAUGUUUUGAAUGUUAGUGUUUCUCAUCGGAACACUGGACAGUGCAUGCCCACAGGUGACAACAGCAACAGCUGCUUUACACCCACAGGAGACAAACUACAAGCAACACGAAAGAUCUGAUGCAUGCUAAUGUGAACGUAAGGUCAGGGAUAGAGAAUAUAGAGAGUGAAAAUACUACAUUGUCUUUUUCAUUACAGAUCUGUCCAAUUAUUCAUCCAUUACCGUUUGAUAAAUGACUAACAGUGUUGCUUCUAUGCUCCUCUGUCUUUGUUGGGUUUCCUGAACAGCGAUGUGUGGGCUUGUGAUGGAAGAGUUCCCUCCCUUGUUCUCUCUCACCCUGCCCUCUCUUGUCUACACUCACCCCACCAAACGAUGACUGAUUUCCUCUGGUGCUUAGAGUGCUCCAUCUUCUAGCACCAUUUGAAAUCGGUUAUAAUGCCUGGGGACAAGUUCUUCAGUUUCCCAUUUGAUGAAGCAGCAGUGUUUGUGUUCCUGCGAGUAGGUUAAUCUGAGUGCAUGUUCAGGUAUAAACCUGUCUAAACCACCUGUCCACCCACGCUCAAGUUGUGUGUGAAUGAAAACAUCAGUUUCAUUGUGUUAUAAAUGACUGAACUGGGUUAUAGUAUGUACAGUAUCCUAGUAACUUUAAUUUGUUUCAGGGUUUCAUCUGUGACUUGCGUAAUGGAAAAAUAUUGUGUGCAAAUUGCUGUCAUAUAAGAGAUAUAAAACACUUCGGAGUAUUUUGUUUUUCUUAUCUGACAGCAGUUCGCCGAAGCUAUGAAUGUUUUAUUCAUUAAAGCAAGACAUGCCAUA